rnacentral:rRNA from 1 species
UUAAUUGAAGAGUUUGAUCAUGGCUCAGAUUGAACGCUGGCGGCAGGCCUAACACAUGCAAGUCGAACGGUAACAGGGAGCAGCUUGCUGCUCUGCUGACGAGUGGCGGACGGGUGAGUAAUGUCUGG